rnacentral:lncRNA from 1 species
AUAUAAUCAAAUGAAUUGAUGUCAAUCACCUCACUGCCUUGUUAAUUAGAACCUAAAAUGAUUGUACACCGAUACACUCUUGUAGUGAGUAAUUAAUGGAUGAAGGAAAUAAUUAAUUGGAUUAAUUAAGUGUUGUGAUUAAUUUAGAAAGUCUAAAGAAAUCAUGAAAGCAAUAAAAGAUCGUUUUGGGCUUAAAGAAACGUUCGGGUUUAAUUGGGCCCAUUGGGCCUAAACCCAUUGGGCUUUUAUUCCAGCAUAGGAUGACUUGAAAUAAUAAAAGCCCAAAGCCCAAACCAAACACUAAAGGGCCGGCCACUUAAAGGGUUUGGGAGAGAUAUUUAGUCAAGUUGUUGACUAGGUUUCUUUUUGUCUAUAUAAGGAACUUUAUAGCACAAAGUUCAUUAGGGUUUUUUGUGUGUUUUUGAACAACAAAGAGGCAAAAUAAAAUAGCUCU